rnacentral:rRNA from 1 species
UAGGGAAUCUUCCGCAAUGGGCGAAAGCCUGACGGAGCAACGCCGCGUGAGUGAUGAAGGUCUUCGGAUCGUAAAACUCUGUUAUUAGGGAAGAACAAAUGUGUAAGUAACUAUGCACGUCUUGACGGUUCCUAAUCAGAAAGCCACGGCUAACUACGUGCCAGCAGCCGCGGUAAUACGUAGGUGGCAAGCGUUAUCCGGAAUUAUUGGGCGUAAAGCGCGCGUAGGCGGUUUUUUAAGUCUGAUGUGAAAGCCCACGGCUCAACCGUGGAGGUUCCUUGGAAACUGUAAAACUUGAGUGCAGAAGAGGAAAGUGGAAUUCCAUGUGUAGCGGUGAAAUGCGGAGAGAUAUGGAGGAACACCAGUGGCGAGGGCGACUUUCUGGUCUGUAACAGACGCAGAUGUGCGAAAGCGUGGGGAUCAAACAGG